CCCCACCAUCCAAUGGGCAAUCCUUUGACGUCCCAACUCGUUUUGUUACAUUUACAACAUCAAAUUUGUCUCCAAAUGUAAUACAACCAAUAAACCCUUGCCCUAGGGUCAAAUUUUUGCCAACAACAUUAUAUAUUGUAUGAGGAACGUCAACUACAUAUACCUUACUACCAAGACUGACAGACAACGUUGCAUUCAGACUGGCAGUUCUAGGUGUAAACACUACAUGAUAUGGUAUAUUUUGAUCCGACUUGUUGCCAACAUUUAAAACUGUCAAGUUAAGACUACCAGCUGUUCUCCAUCUUAACGCUAAUGAGCUUUCAGUAAAUCGAUUUGUUCCAUAGUCCACUACUCCAGGCAAAACUGCAAGUUCAAAGUAACCAUUAUUCCCAAUUUGUCGUAGAAGGCUACCGCCCUCACAAGUUCUGAACGAUAGAGUAAAUCGUUUUGUAAUGUCUAAAGGCUUUGUUUCAAUGUAUGAAGUCUUGUUAAAAAAUAUCGAUACAGACUCUCUUGCUAACAGCAACAGUAGGGUCACUAUAAUUGAGAACAAAAAAAUGGUAACACAUUAAUAAAGGGGGUAAUUAAUAGGGUAUUUU
rnacentral:lncRNA from 1 species